rnacentral:rRNA from 1 species
GAUGAACGCCGGCGGUGUGCCUAAUACAUGCAAGUCGAGCGCACUGGCCCAACUGAUAUGGCGUGCUUGCACUGAAUUGACGUUGGAUUCCCAGUGAGCGGCGGACGGGUGAGUAACACGUGGGCAACCUGCCCUGAAGCGGGGGAUAACAUCUGGAAACAGGUGCUAAUACCGCAUAACAACGAAAACCGCAUGGUUUUCGUUUCAAAGAUGGUUUCGGCUAUCACUUCAGGAUGGGCCCGCGGUGCAUUAGCUAGUUGGUAAGGUAACGGCUUACCAAGGCGAUGAUGCAUAGCCGAGUUGAGAGACUGAUCGGCCACAAUGGAACUGAGACACGGUCCCUACUCCUACGGGAGGCAGCAGUAGGGAAUCUUCCACAAUGGGCGCAAGCCUGAUGGAGCAACACCGCGUGAGUGAAGAAGGGUUUCGGCUCGUAAAGCUCUGUUGUUGGAGAAGAACGUGCGUGAGAGUAACUGUUCACGCAGUGACGGUAUCCAACCAGAAAGUCACGGCUAACUACGUGCCAGCAGCCGCGGUAAUACGUAGGUGGCAAGCGUUAUCCGGAUUUAUUGGGCGUAAAGCGAGCGCAGGCGGUUGUUUAGGUCUGAUGUGAAAGCCUUCGGCUUAACCGAAGAAGUGCAUCGGAAACCGGGCGACUUGAGUGCAGAAGAGGACAGUGGAACUCCAUGUGUAGCGGUGGAAUGCGUAGAUAUAUGGAAGAACACCAGUGGCGAAGGCGGCUGUCUGGUCUGCAACUGACGCUGAGGCUCGAAAGCAUGGGUAGCGAACAGG